AUGAACGCUGGCGGCGUGCCUAAUACAUGCAAGUCGAGCGAACAGAUAAGGAGCUUGCUCCUUUGACGUUAGCGGCGGACGGGUGAGUAACACGUGGGUAACCUACCUAUAAGACUGGAAUAACUCCGGGAAACCGGGGCUAAUGCAGGAUAACAUGUUGAACCGCAUGGUUCUACAGUGAAAGGCGGCUUUGCUGUCACUUAUAGAUGGACCCGCGCCGUAUUAGCUAGUUGGUGAGGUAGCGGCUCACCAAGGCAACGAUACGUAGCCGACCUGAGAGGGUGAUCAGCCACACUGGAACUGAGACACGGUCCAGACUCCCACGGGAGGCAGCAGUAGGGAAUCUUCCGCAAUGGGCGAAAGCCUGACGGAGCAACGCCGCGUGAGUGAUGAAGGUCUUCGGAUCGUAAAACUCUGUUAUUAGGGAAGAACAAAUGCGUAAGUAACUGUGCGCGUCUUGACGGUACCUAAUCAGAAAGCCACGGCUAACUACGUG
rnacentral:rRNA from 1 species